UGUAAGCGUAUACCAAAGUUGUUGCAGUUAAAACGCUCGUAGUCGGAGUUUGGCAGUUCCGGAUGUGUGCACGUCGUGUGCGCACUUCGCGGGGAUUGCUUUUGUGGUCUUGCGUAGGAUGAGGCACUUUUAUUAGUGAACGUCCUCACGCAACCACUUUUUACUGUGAGAAAAUCAGAGUGCUCAAAGCAGGCAUUUGCCGUGAAUGUAUUAGCAUGGAAUAAUAGAAUAGGACUUGGUUCUAUUUUGUUGGUUUGUUGGGACUGAGUAAUGAUUAAGAGGGGCAGUUGGGGGCAUUUGUAUUUCGGUGCUAGAGGUGAAAUUCUUAGAUUACCGAAAGACAAACUGCUGCGAAAGCGUCUGCCAAGGAUGUUUUCAUUGA
rnacentral:rRNA from 1 species